rnacentral:rRNA from 1 species
AAGUCGUAACAAGGUUUCUAUAGAACACACCACAUUGUGAAGCCUUGAUUUUAAGUCUUAUAAAGGCGACACCUUUACUGUGCUUGGAUAUCUUUUGAGGUAACAAGCAGCUGCUAACUGCAGUUCACAGAUCAAACAAAGGUGGUCCUUUGGUGCAAACCACAUGGAUUUAGAUAUGACCGGCCUACUCUGGAAAAACUGUAGAGCUUGCGUUCCGUAGGUGAACCUGCGGAAGGAUCAUUACUGAGAAACAUGCCCUCUGGGCAUAUCUCCCACCCUAUGUUUACAAUACGUUGUUGCUUUGGUGGGCCCGUCACUUGACCACUGGCUACAAGCUGGUCUGUGCCUGCCAGAGGACCCCAAUAUCUUUUUUUAAUGUUGUCUGAGUAUUAUAUAAAGUUAAAAACUUUCAACAACGGAUCUCUUGGUUCUGGCAUCGAUGAAGAACGCAGCGAAAUGCGAUAGGUAAUGUGAAUUGCAGAAUUCAGUGAAUCAUCGAAUCUUUGAACGCACAUUGCACCCUCUGGUAUUCCGGGGGGUAUGCCUGUUCGAGCGUCAUUGCAACCUUCAAGCACUGCUUGGUAUUGGAUNNCACUAUUUUAGUGUGUCUCAAAAGUAUUAGUGGUGGCAUUUAGCUUCUAGUGUAGUAAUGUCUCGCUAUGGAGUCUGGGUGUUGACCUGCUAGAACCCCUAAUUUAUCAAAGGUUGACCUCGGAUCAGGUAGGGAUACCCGCUGAACUUAAGCAUAUCAAUAAGCGGAGGAAAAGAANNCANCAGGGAUUGCCUUAGUAACGGCGAGUGAAGCGGCAACAGCUCAAAUUNGAAAUCUGGCCUCAUGGUCCGAGUUGUAAUUUGUAGAAGAUGCUUCGAGCAUGGUCCAGUCUAAGUUCCUUGGAACAGGACGUCAUAGAGGGUGAGAAUCCCGUAUGUGACUGGGUGCCUAAGCUCAUGUGAAGCUCUUUCGACGAGUCGAGUUGUUUGGGAAUGCAGCUCAAAAUGGGUGGUAAAUUUCAUCUAAAGCUAAAUACUGGCCAGAGACCGAUAGCGCACAAGUAGAGUGAUCGAAAGAUGAAAAGCACUUUGGAAAGAGAGUUAAACAGUACGUGAAAUUGUUGAAAGGGAAGCGCUUGCAACCAGACUUGCAUGCAGUCGAUCAUCCGGUGUUCUCACUGUGUGCACUCGAUUGUAUUCAGGCCAGCAUUGGUUUUGGUGGUUGGAUAAAGGCCUUGGGAAUGUAACUUCUCUUGGGGAGUGUUAUAGCCCAAGGUGUAAUGCGGCCUACCAGGACCAAGGACCGCGCUUCGGCUAGGAUGCUGGCGUAAUGGUUGUAAGCGACC